CCUGCUCGUCUUCUCACUGCUCAGAGUCGGUUACAUCAACGAUGCCAUAGAUGCCUCUUUGAAUUUCAGGUGUUGGUGCGCCAGAUUACGGCACAAGCCAACCCGUUUGUGACUGUGGGUCUCCGGCCAUGGACAAGGUAGUCAAGGAGCUCUCGUCUCAGGCCGUGACUCUAGGUGCCACCACUCGCAACAACAAAAAUAAUCGGAUGAAGACCACUCACUGCACUUCUCAAACAAGCGAGUGCACGCGAAAAUUUCUUGGAGCGAAAAACAUGCAAAACACAAAUUUCGCGCGAACGUUCGCAAUAGUUUUCGCAACCCGGAACGCGAAAAUCAUUGCGAACGUUCGCUCUGCAAAACCUCUCUAUUAUGAUCGCCUUCGAUUAUUUAUUUUCGUUCUACUCGACAAUUCCAAAAAUCAGUGCCAUUGGCUUUAGCUUUGCCCUUGAACUUGAAAUCUCGUGCCUUAUUCUUUCCUGGGGACUGGUGUUGGAUAUUGAACGGGCGGAGUUACCGCCGGGAUGAUGGAUGAAGGAGAUGAUGGCCUAAACUUGGCUGCGCGCAUUCUCAUUUUCGCGUGGCCUGCCACUAGUGUUUCGCAGAUUCACAAAGGGUGUCACAGGCAUAGCUGGAGGAAGAAAGAUACUACACGAAUGCGAAACGCGACAAACUCUACAACGUCAUUAGCCUGGAGUUCACCAAGACUAAGUUGGAGCCUCAAGUGGAGUCACCCAGUCUGGUACGUCAUAUGGAUGGAGUGGACUUGGUGUGGCCGGAAACAUUGCGCGCUUUGCAGCAGGAGGCCACCAACCGACUGGUCGACAUGAAAUAUCCCAAAGUGCAAAAGUACUGCCUGAUGAGCGUCGGUGGCUGCUACACAGAUUUCCGUAUCGACUUUGGUGGCACAUCCGUCUGGUAUCACAUUCUCAAGGGUGGAAAG